CACGUAAGCCCCGAGCGUUGUUCGGAAUUAUUGGGCGUAAAGGGCGCGCAGGCGGCCCUGCAAGUCUGGGGUGAAAUCCCGGGGCCCAACCCCGGAACCGCCCUGGAAACUGCUGGGCUGGAGUCGCCGAAGGGAAGCCGGAAUUCCUGGUGUAGGGGUGAAAUCUGUAGAUAUCAGGAAGAACACCGAUGGCGAAGGCAGGCUUCCGGCGGACGACUGACGCUGAGGCGCGAAGGCGCGGGGAG
rnacentral:rRNA from 1 species